rnacentral:rRNA from 1 species
AAUAGAUACCCCGGUAGUCCACGCCCUAAACGAUGUCAACUAGUUGUCGGGGAUUAAUUUCCUUGGUAACGCAGCUAACGCGUGAAGUUGACCGCCUGGGGAGUACGGUCGCAAGAUUAAAACUCAAAGGAAUUGACGGGGACCCGCACAAGCGGUGGAUGAUGUGGAUUAAUUCGAUGCAACGCGAAAAACCUUACCUACCCUUGACAUGGUCGGAACCCUGGAGAGAUCUGGGGGUGCUCGAAAGAGAACCGGCGCACAGGUGCUGCAUGGCUGUCGUCAGCUCGUGUCGUGAGAUGUUGGGUUAAGUCCCGCAACGAGCGCAACCCUUGUCAUUAGUUGCUACGAAAGGGCACUCUAAUGAGACUGCCGGUGACAAACCGGAGGAAGGUGGGGAUGACGUCAAGUCCUCAUGGCCCUUAUGGGUAGGGCUUCACACGUCAUACAAUGGUACAUACAGAGGGCUGCCAACCCGGCGAGGGGGAGCUAAUCCCAGAAAGUGUAUCGUAGUCCGGAUUGCAGUCUGCAACUCGACUGC